rnacentral:sRNA from 1 species
AAGGGACCAGAUCGGUCGGGCAGAAAGCCGCGCUCCCACGAGGGUCACGGCGGCGGGGAGAGGUGGAGCCGCGAGAGCUCGGCCGGGGGCCCCGCCUGGUGGUCGCGGCCAUGACAGCGGCUCGGGACAGGCUCCUUUUCCGCGCCCCUCCCGCCGGAGGUGAGGGGAAGAUGUCCAUGUCAGGGUUCAAGGCCAGACUGAAGUUGCUGGCCUCUAUCUUCCAGGAGAACCAGGAGCCACAGCCGCGGCUCACGCCCCACCGCAACAUUAAGAUUACAAGUGGACACCUGAGUCAGCAGGACCUGGAAUCCCAGAU